AUUGAACGUUGGCGGCAGGCCUAACACAUGCAAGUCGAACGAGUGGCGGACGGGUGAGUACUGUCUGGGAAACUGCCCGCUGGAGGGGGAUAACUACUGGAAACGGUAGCUAUUACCGCAUACCAUCGGAUGUGCCCAGAUGGGAUUAGAUAGUAGGUGGGGUAACGGCUCACCUAGGCGACGAUCCCUAGCUGGUCUGAGAGGAGGGCCAGCCACACUGGAACUGAGACACGGUCCAGACUCCUAAGGGAGGCAGCAGUGGGGAAUAUUGCACAAUGGGCGCAAGCCUGAUGCAGCCAUGCCGCGUGUAUGAAGAAGGCCUUCGGGUUGUAAAGUACUGUCAGCGAGGAGGCGUUACUCGCAGAAGAAGCACCGGCUAACUCCGUGCCAGCAGCCGCGGUAAUUC
rnacentral:rRNA from 1 species